rnacentral:rRNA from 1 species
AACGAACGCUGGCGGCAGGCCUAACACAUGCAAGUCGAGCGGAUCCUUCGGGAUUAGCGGCGGACGGGUGAGUAACGCGUGGGAAUAUGCCCUUCUCUACGGAAUAGCCUCGGGAAACUGGGAGUAAUACCGUAUACGCCCUACGGGGAAAGAUUUAUCGGAGAAGGAUUAGCCCGCGUUGGAUUAGGUAGUUGGUGGGGUAAUGGCCUACCAAGCCUACGAUCCAUAGCUGGUUUGAGAGGAUGAUCAGCCACACUGGGACUGAGACACGGCCCAGACUCCUACGGGAGGCAGCAGUGGGGAAUCUUAGACAAUGGGGGAAACCCUGAUCUAGCCAUGCCGCGUGAGUGAUGAAGGCCUUAGGGUUGUAAAGCUCUUUCAGCUGGGAAGAUAAUGACGGUACCAGCAGAAGAAGCCCCGGCUAACUCCGUGCCAGCAGCCGCCGUAACAC